GACAGAGGGUGCAAACGUUGUUCGGAAUUACUGGGCGUAAGGCGCGUGUAGGCGGCUUGGCAAGUCGGGUGUGAAAGCCCUGGGCUCAACCUAGGAAGUGCACUCGAAACUGCUUGGCUUGAGUGCUGGAGAGGGAAGCGGAAUUCUCGGUGUAGAGGUGAAAUUCGUAGAUAUCGAGAGGAACACCGGUGGCGAAGGCGGCAUCCUGGACCGGCAUUGACGCUGAGGCGCGAAAGCCAGGGGAGCAAACGGG
rnacentral:rRNA from 1 species